AAACUAUUUCCUUUCUUUUUGAGAAUUGUCGCCUGGACCGGGAUUAGGUCUAGACUCUAGGCAAGAAUGCCUGUUGCUCGGAGUUGGGUAUGUCGUAAGACAUAUGUCACCCCCAGGCGGCCCUUUGAAAAGUCACGACUUGACCAGGAGCUAAAACUGAUUGGUGAAUAUGGGCUGCGGAACAAACGUGAAGUGUGGCGAGUGAAGUUCACCUUAGCGAAGAUUCGCAAAGCUGCCCGUGAGCUGCUCACACUGGACGAAAAGGAUCAGAGGCGUCUCUUUGAGGGUAAUGCUUUGCUUCGACGUCUUGUCAGGAUUGGGGUGCUGGAUGAAGGCAAGAUGAAGCUGGAUUACAUCCUGGGUUUGAAAAUUGAGGAUUUUCUAGAAAGGCGCCUUCAAACCCAGGUCUUCAAACUGGGCCUGGCCAAAUCCAUCCACCAUGCUCGAGUCCUUAUCCGCCAGAGACACAUCCGCCUGCGCAGCGAUAUAUGUGGCAAUGUCCCAGCUGUGUGUCUUUUAACCCCACCAACCUGUUCCUUGGAUUGGAGCCCUGGAUAGCUCAGUAGCGCUACAGCUCACCUAAUGAGGCCGCGUGCCAAAACCCCAAAAAGAUUACAGCAAGGCUCACUGCGGCUCAGCCGUACACCUUGCGAAGGUCUUGCCGUGCGGGCGGUAGAGCGUAAGGAAGCAAGUGGUUAACAUCCCUUCCUUCAUUGUUCGCCUGGACUCCCAAAAGCAUAUUGACUUCUCCCUCCGCU